AAAUUGCAUUGGUAAUAAAGGAGGAGUGAUACACAGUACUAUGUAGCCCCCUUGAAGAGUGUGAAACUUUUAAGAAGACGAGGAAUUCGAGGGGACUUACCGACAGAUGGGGGGAUGAAGGGUCCAUUCCUCUACGGUUUUUCUUUUGCUUUUUACAUCGACAACAUCUUUCUCUCCAUUUUCUCUUCUCCAUUAAUAUACUUUUAAGGACGAAAUGUAGUAGUAAGGUGGAGACGAAUACUUCUAGCCUAACAAUGCGGCAAUGGGUAAGACAAAGAUCGUCUAUCUUUAAAACACAUUGCAUAAUAUGAUAAAACAUUUAAGAAGAGAUACAAAGAAAAGAUUGUUGACACCAAAUAGCAAGGUCAUAAUGAAAAUUUCUUUUUUUAUGCUUCAA